UCAAGUUAUUAAGGGUGCAGGGCGGAUGCCUUGGCACUAGGAGCCGAUGAAGGACGUGAUAAGCUGCGAUAAGCUUCGGGGAGUUGCACGUAAACUUUGAUCCGAAGAUUUCCGAAUGAGGAAACUCACUUAGAGUAAUGUCUAAGUAUCAUUAAGUGAAUACAUAGCUUAAUGAGGGGAACUCAGGGAACUGAAACAUCUAAGUACCUGAAGGAAGAGAAAGAAAUUCGAUUCCGUAAGUAGCGGCGAGCGAACGCGGAUUAGCCCAAACCAAUAAAGUUUUCUUUGUUGGGGUUGCGGACAUAUCAUAACGAAGAGGUAUCGUAAUUGAAGAGGUUUGGAAAGACCCACCACAGAAGGUAAUAGUCCUGUAUGUUAAACGAGAAGACUUUAGAUAUGAUCCAGAGUACCACGGGACACGUGAAACCCUGUGGGAAGCAGGAGGGACCACCCUCCAAGGCUAAAUACUACCUAGUGACCGAUAGCGUAUAGUACCGUGAGGGAAAGGUGAAAAGAACCCCGGGAGGGGAGUGAAAUAGAACCUGAAACCCUGCACUUACAAGCUGUGGAAGCACAUUUCUUGUGUGACCGCGUACUUUUUGUAGAACGGGCCAACGAGUUACGUUAAGUAGCAAGGUUAAGCACUUAAGGUGCGGAGCCGUAGCGAAAGCGAGUUUUAACUGAGCGUUCAGUUACUUGACGUAGACCCGAAACCGGGCGACCUACCCAUGAGCAGGAUGAAGCGAAAGUAAAAUUUCGUGGAGGUCCGAACCCACGAGCGUUGAAAAGCUCGGGGAUGACUUGUGGGUAGCGGUGAAAUUCCAAUCGAGCCCGGAGAUAGCUGGUUCUCCCCGAAAUAGCUUUAGGGCUAGCCUCAAGGUGAGAGAUACGGAGGUAGAGCACUGAAUGUCCUAGGGGGUAUUGCACCUACCGAAGACUAUCAAACUCCGAAUGCCGUCAUCUUAUACUUGGGAGUCAGACUGUGGGUGAUAAGAUUCAUAGUCGAAAGGGCAACAGCCCAGAUCGUCAGCUAAGGUCCCUAAAUGUAAGUUAAGUGGUAAAGGAUGUGGGAUUGCACAGACAACCAGGAUGUUGGCUUAGAAGCAGCCACUCAUUCAAAGAGUGCGUAAUAGCUCACUGGUCGAGUGAUCCUGCGCCGAAGAUUUCCGGGGCUAAAACUUACUACCGAAGCUACGGCAUCAGUAAUGAUGGGUAGGGGAGCUUCCCAUACGGGUUGAAGCAUGACCGUAAGGACAUGUGGACAGUAUGGGAGUGAGAAUGUUGGCAUGAGUAGCGAGAUGUGGGUGAGAAUCCCACAGGCCGUAAACCCAAGGUUUCCAGGGGAAGGUUCGUCCGCCCUGGGUUAGUCGGGACCUAAGCUGAGGCCGAAAGGCGUAGGUGAUGGACAACAGGUUGAUAUUCCUGUACUACCGAUAACCGUUUGAGAGAAGGGAUGACACAGUAGGAUAAGCUAAGCACACUGUUGGUUAUGUGUGCCCAAGCAUUGAGGCAGUCAAAGUAGGCAAAUCCGCUUUGAUAAUGCUGGGAUGUGAUGGGGAGCGAAAUUUAGUAGCGAAGUAGCUGAUUUCACACUGUCAAGAAAAGUCUCUAUCGAGGUUAAAGGUACCCGUACCGCAAACCGACACAGGUGGGUGAGGAGAGUAUCCUAAGGCCAGCGAGAGAACUGUUGUUAAGGAACUCGGCAAAAUGACCCCGUAACUUAGGGAUAAGGGGUGCCACCAUCAGGUGGCCGCAGAGAAUAGGCCCAAGCGACUGUUUACCAAAAACAUAGGUUUCUGCUAAGUCGCAAGACGAUGUAUAGGAGCUGACGCCUGCCCGGUGCUGGAAGGUUAAGGGGAUCUGUUAGAGCAAUCGAAGCAGUGAACUUAAGCCCCAGUAAACGGCGGCCGUAACUAUAACGGUCCUAAGGUAGCGAAAUUCCUUGUCGGGUAAGUUCCGACCCGCACGAAAGGCGUAACGAUUUGGGCACUGUCUCAACAACAGACUCGGUGAAAUUGUAAUUCCGGUGAAGAUGCCGGAUACCUGCGACAGGACGGAAAGACCCCAUGGAGCUUUACUGUAGCUUGACAUUGGGUCUUGGUACUACAUGUACAGGAUAGGUGGGAGGCUUUGAAACCAGGACGCCAGUUUUGGCGGAGCCAUCCUUGGGAUACCACCCUUGUAGUACUGGGACUCUAACCAUAGACCAUGAAUCUGGUCUUGGGACACUGUCAGGUGGGCAGUUUGACUGGGGCGGUCGCCUCCCAAAAGGUAACGGAGGCGCUCAAAGGUUCUCUCAGUACGGUCGGAAAUCGUACGUAGAGUGUAAAGGCAAAAGAGAGCUUGAUUGCAAGACAUACAGGUCGAGCAAGGAUGAAAAUCGGACUUAGUGAUCCGGUGGUUCUGCGUGGAAGGGCCAUCGCUCAACGGAUAAAAGCUACCCUGGGGAUAACAGGCUUAUCUCCCCCAAGAGUCCACAUCGACGGGGAGGUUUGGCACCUCGAUGUCGGCUCAUCACAUCCUGGGGCUGUAGUAGGUCCCAAGGGUUGGGCUGUUCGCCCAUUAAAGUGGUACGCGAGCUGGGUUCAGAACGUCGUGAGACAGUUCGGUCCCUAUCCGUCGCAGGCGUAGGAAAUUUGAGAAGACCUGUCCUUAGUACGAGAGGACCGGGAUGGACGUACCUCUGGUGUACCAGUUGUCCUGCCAAGGGCAUGGCUGGGUAGCUAUGUACGGAAUGGAUAAGCGCUGAAAGCAUCUAAGCGCGAAGCCAACUUCAAGAUAAGAUUUCCCACCGCAAGGGUAAGACCCCAGAAAGACUAUCUGGUUGAUAGGUCGAAGGUGUAAGUGCAGCAAUGUAUUUAGCUUAUCGAUACUAAUAGGUCGAGGACUUGACCAA
rnacentral:rRNA from 2 species